UACGUAGGCAGCGAGCGUUGUUCGGAGUUACUGGGCGUAAAGGGUGCGUAGGCGGUUUUCCAAGUUUGGUGUGAAAUCUCCCGGCUCAACUGGGAGGGUGCGCCGAAAACUAGGAGACUUGAGUACCGGAGAGGUAAGCGGAAUUCCUGGUGUAGCGGUGAAAUGCGUAGAGAUCAGGAGGAACACCUGUGGUGUAGACAGCUUACUGGACGGCCACUGACGCUGAGGCACGAAAGCGUGGGUAGCAAACAGG
rnacentral:rRNA from 1 species